ACAUGCAGUAUUGGCACUUAGACUUAAUGUUGAAUGAAGGGGAGGCAUUUUAAAAUUCACAUCAAAAAACUGUUAUUCUUUAAAAAAAAUACUAAUCUACAAGGUCACUUCCCCUCCAAGCAUGACGUCUACCUUUACUUUCUGAUAAUCAUGAUCGGCUUGUGGGGAUCAAGAUUACUCAGGAUUAAAUUCUGGCCCCAUCUUGAGCCGUCAUGGAAACUUGGGGAAGCUACUUAACUUCUCCAUCUAGAUUGAUUCUGCAAAAUCCGUAAAAUGGAAUGGUUUCUGGGGGUUAAAUUAGUAUACCACUGUUGGAAUACUGUCAGGCUUGCCAGAUAUUUACUGUUCAUCUUCAUCAAAUGAGGACAGUGGUAUCCCACUAUAUGGUUUUCAAUUUUGUGUAAGAAAAACGUGCUUUAUGCAUUGUUAGUAAAAGAAAUAUCUGAAUAUCCCUGCCAUGGAAGAAAGAAACAGAGGGAGAAAAGAGAGUUGGACUGGAAAGCUCAGGCAGCCCAGGAUGAAUAAUGCAGUCACCACAGAGGGACAGGGUGGCCACAAGGUG
ensembl:lncRNA novel transcript